rnacentral:rRNA from 1 species
AGUUGGUGGAGUAAUAGCCUACCAAGGCAAUGAUCUAUAGCUGAUCUGAGAGGAUGAUCAGCCACACUGGAACUGAGAUACGGUCCAGACUCCUACGGGAGGCAGCAGUGGGGAAUAUUGGACAAUGGGCGAAAGCCUGAUCCAGCCAUGCCGCAUGAGUGAAGAAGGCCUUUGGGUUGUAAAGCUCUUUUAGUGAGGAAGAUAAUGACGGUACUCACAGAAGAAGUCCUGGCUAACUCCGUGCCAGCAGCCGCGGUAAUACGGAGAGGGCUAGCGUUAUUCGGAAUUAUUGGGCGUAAAGGGCGCGUAGGCUGAUUAAUAAGUUAAAAGUGAAAUCCCGAGGCUUAACCUUGGAAUUGCUUUUAAAACUAUUAAUCUAGAGAUUGAAAGAGGAUAGAGGAAUUCCUGAUGUAGAGGUAAAAUUCGUAAAUAUUAGGAGGAACACCAGUGGCGAAGGCGUCUAUCUGGUUCAAAUCUGACGCUGAAGCGCGAAGGCGUGGGGAGCAAACAGGAUUAGAUACCCUGGUAGUCCACGCUGUAAACGAU